rnacentral:tRNA from 1 species
GCUUGCGUAGCUUAAUACAAAGCGUAGCAGUGAAGAUGCUAAGAUGAACCCUGACAAGUUCCGAGGGCA